rnacentral:rRNA from 1 species
CACGUAGGGGCCAAGCGUUGUCCGGAUUUAUUGGGCGUAAAGAGCUCGUAGGCGGUUGGGUAAGUCGGGUGUGAAAACUCCAGGCUCAACCUGGAGACGCCACCCGAUACUGCUCUGACUUGAGUUCGGUAGGGGAGUGGGGAAUUCCUGGUGUAGCGGUGAAAUGCGCAGAUAUCAGGAGGAACACCGGUGGCGAAGGCGCCACUCUGGGCCGAAACUGACGCUGAGGAGCGAAAGCGUGGGUAGCAAACAGG